rnacentral:ncRNA from 1 species
GCUUCGGUUCUGGUGCCAAGGCACUGGAUUGAAAGGGAACGCAGUGAGAUAGGUUUUCGAUCGCGGAAGCCAUCAAGGCUGCGGCUGCCCCCGCAACUGUAAGCGGUGAGCGAAGCUCCUGAAUGCCACUGUCGUGUAAGCGAUGGGAAGGCGGAGCCAAGCGAUGACCCGCGAGCCAGGAGACCUGCCGAUGUG